CUCCUCAGCUCUUCUCUUUGCAUACACCUAUCACAGCCUGUGAGCCAGAGAGGAGCCAACAGAAGGGAACUGUGAGGAGCCAACAACAGACAGCUGAGCAGACAUGAUGAGCUCUCCACCUAGAUUCUGGAUUUCUGCUUUAACUUGACUGCAGAUUUUGAGCUGAUGGGAAUAAAGCUUGAUCUGUUCUAGAAACAAGGUCUCUGUAGGAGAAUUCCUGGAAAGACAUAAGAUUUAAUUUAGAAAAGAGAAGACCAAGUGCCAACAGGAUGGAUUAAGUUUGGGUUUGCUUCUUAAAGCUUCAGCUUAUUAUGAUGGAAUAAGCAGUAAGGCUCUGUGAAAAAUCUCAACAUGGGAAUUCCUCUUCAACUGCAGUCACUGGGUUAUGUGGCACAAGAGGAUUAUAUGGCACUUACACACGCAUAGGGUUACAUGGUCUAUCAACAACAACAUCUUAUCUCGCUUCAUGCAAGUCUUACCCUGAAGGCUUCUAUUCUGUCACAGCAACCACCACCUGUUCCAGGGAACAGCAGGAAGUGACACAGAAUUUCUGGAUGAACCUGCAAUAAUUAGCCCAAUGAAUUCUACAGUGCUAGCUUUGAAGAAACCAAAGAAGUGGGGAAAAAUACUAAACACAUAAAGAGUUCAAAAGUCCAGACUUUCCCUUUGAGUUAAACUGGCAGGAGGCCAAUUCUAGUUCCCUCUUCUCCCAGACCUUUACAGAAUGAUAAUGGAGCUGUGGCUAAAGCCAUAUUGAAAAUGAAGGACAGUGCAAUAAUCCACAGGGGUAGUUAAAUCCUUUACAUGAGUGUGGUAGUUAAAGGGGAAUUGAAAGAAAUGCUAUCUACUGCAGUUUUUUUUACAUCAAUACAAGUUUAUAUCAGUACUAUGAUUUCUUUCGCUUUCUGUUCUGGGACAGGUUCUACUAUCUAGAUACUUCAUUGUUGAUCUCAUGUUGGUAAUUUUCUUAUCUAGGUCAUCCUUCUCCCCCCAAAUCCCUUGUGCUUUCCCCAGCUUUACAGAAUAAAUAAAGCUAUUAUUUAGAAGGAUUUGCUCUAAGAGGAACCUAGUCAUUUUUUUUUUUUUGUUGCUUUUACUUCCUGUGUUUUGCCACUCAAUACUAAAAUAGAGCAAGCAAAAUUUUUCUCAGCACUUAGUAGACAAUACAGAAGUAGAUUUUUUUCAAAGGCCUUUAGUGUCUACCAAUUUCAAUUCUGAUAGCAAUGUCCAAAAUUCUCUGAAUUUCACGAAAACCAUGAUCACUUCUUGUGGUCUCUGAAGAAAAUCUGAGUCUUCUGGUAAUUUCACAUAACAUCAUGAAGACUCCAGGGUAUUUCUGUAGUUCAUCUUUGGUGCUGUGCCUACGUAAUAGUGAUUCUCAUUCGCGGGUCACCACUGCCCCUCAGGCACUGCACCUCAGAGCAGCAUGGCCCCACCUCCCCCAUCACCCCUAGCCGCUUUCAAGUGGCAUGGCCCCUGGCUACCAGUCUGCAAAAGCCUUCCCUGAUCGUGCCUCUUCCUGACCUCUUCACAUUUUUCCCAAAGCAGGCCAUUUCUGACCCUGUAAAAUACAAUGUGACUGCCUAACAAGAAACAAAAUGUCCUUCAUUUGUGUUACUAUUUGAUACUAUUAAAUUAUUAUUAUGUUCUUAAUGAUCCACUGUGUUUUCUUCCUCUCUCUGCUUUGAUUAAUGAAGUAGGA